CUCCAGGUGCCGUUCCCUUGCUGUGGGUCCUGCCAAGGCUGUCGAGAAAAAUCUUGGCACAGUGCCCUCCAAACUUCUUCACUGUUCAGGGCCAGUGGAGCCCAGGCCCGUCAGUAGGAAUGGCAACCAAAGAAUGCUCCACACCCCUGGGAGCUGCUGGAAUUCCUCCUGUGCCCUUGGAGCUCAGCCCAAUCUCCUGAGGAGAGGGAGGGAGGGAGCCCCUCUCUGUCCUGGAAACUGCAGCAAGGACACCCACACUGGCAGCUGCCUGCCCCGCUGCAGUGCUGGUUCACAGGUUUCAGGAUGGACCAUCAAGGCACUGCACCUUCCCUUGAACCAUCCACUCCAGAACCAGGAAUCCUCCUGCAGUCACUCCACAGAAUCAAAGGCACUCUCGGUGUCCUUUCCACACACGAAGCAUCCC